AGGGUUCGAUCCUGGCUCAGGACGAACGCUGGCGGCGUGCCUAACACAUGCAAGUCGAACGGAGCUUUAGGAGCUUGCUCCAAAAAGCUUAGUGGCGGACGGGUGAGUAACGCGUGAGCAACCUGCCUCUCAGAGGGGAAUAACGUUUGGAAACGAACGCUAAUACCGCAUAACAUCUUUUUAUCGCAUGGUAGAGAGAUCAAAGGAGCAAUCCGCUGAGAGAUGGGCUCGCGUCCGAUUAGCUAGAUGGCGGGAUAACAGCCCACCAUGGCGACGAUCGGUAGCCGGACUGAGAGGUUGAACGGCCACAUUGGGACUGAGACACGGCCCAG
rnacentral:rRNA from 1 species